rnacentral:rRNA from 1 species
AUUGAACGCUGGCGGCAGGCUUAACACAUGCAAGUCGAGCGGGGUGAUGGUGCUUGCACUAUCACUUAGCGGCGGACGGGUGAGUAAUGCUUAGGAAUCUGCCUAUUAGUGGGGGACAACAUCUCGAAAGGGAUGCUAAUACCGCAUACGUCCUACGGGAGAAAGCAGGGGAUCACUUGUGACCUUGCGCUAAUAGAUGAGCCUAAGUUGGAUUAGCUAGUGGGUGGGGUAAAGGCCUACCAAGGCGACGAUCUGUAGCGGGUCGGAGAGGAUGAUCCGCCACACUGGGACUGAGCCACGGCCCAGACUCCUACGGGAGGCAGCAGUGGGGAAUAUUGGACAAUGGGGGGAACCCUGAUCCAGCCAUGCCGCGUGUGUGAAGAAGGCCUUAUGGUUGUAAAGCACUUUAGGCGAGGAGGAGGCUCUUUUGGUAGUACCCAAGAUGAGUGGACGUUACUCGCAGAAUAAGCACCGGCUAACUCUGUGCCAGCCGCCGCCGUAA